AUCCACUCGAACAGAGUCUCUUUUAUAUUUGCACGGCGUACCAACAAUACAACAGGAUCUCAACUACAAUCUGUAAUUACCAAUCAACAACCAAUUCAUGAUAUGUAUUUUCAUACAGCUAACAAUCCUUAGAAAUGAUGCAUGCCUCUAAGCACUCCUUAGGCGCUGGAUGAUGCAAUGCACAGUACAACAAUCAUCCUAUUUAAAAGUGCUCCCUACCCGGAAGCUUUAUUUUUAAAAUCUAAUUCAUUCAUUCAUGAAAACCAUUCGAAAAUUUUUUGAAAACUGUUUCCCACACGGAAACUCUAUUUU
rnacentral:lncRNA from 1 species